UGUAGGAGAACAAAAUCGGCAACAGAUGUUGGGUGCAUCUUAAACGGAAGGACAUCUGAAUUUGAAGGUUACUUAGUAGGCAGUCUUCGUUUCACAUUCUUAAUUCAUCCUGUUUUAAAGGAUGCAUAAGGUGUAUCUUUCGUGUCUUUCGAUCCACAAUUCUUAGCUCAAAUUACGAAUUCACAAAAAUUCACAAAAAAGACCAAAAAUUAAUUAAUUAAUUAAUAAGUAAAAUUAGAUGCUUAAAUGCUUAAUAGUAUAAACAACUAGGAGACCACUUGGUUGUCAUUAAACUAGAAAGAUAGCAGUUCUAUGUAAAACAAUUUCAAUAUAAAGUGUCUUCUUAUUCUAGCGUUUAAUGCUGAGCAGGACUCUAGCAUUGAAGGUUUAGGAAGAGCAUGUGAUCGCUUGCAUCCAGCUUUCUGUUUGACAAGCACCCAUAUUAUUUUUCUCUCUGUUGGUGGCGGUAAUGCACCUGCAACCGCGAAGGAACAGAAAAGAAGAAGAAGAAGCGGUCUCCACGCGCAGCGACUUUAUUCACUCACUUAGCAGUGAAUCUUCUGAGUAAAGCACCUAAAGCUGGUCUGCCAACUGCCAAUAAACAGAAGAGAAUAAGAUGCAUCACCACUAGCGCCCUCACACUCACUUUCUCAGAGUUGAGUCUUCUGAGACCUGAUGGAGGAGAAAGAGGAGAGCAAAUAAUCAAAUUAGGUGGAAGAGAAA
rnacentral:lncRNA from 1 species